UACAGAGGUCUCAAGCGUUGUUCGGAUUCAUUGGGCGUAAAGGGUGCGUAGGCGGUCUGCUAAGUUUGAUGUGAAAUCCCGGGGCUCAACCCUGGAAUGGCAUUGAAUACUGGCGGACUAGAGUACCGGAGAGGAAACUGGAAUUUACGGUGUAGCAGUGAAAUGCGUAGAGAUCGUAAGGAAGACCAGUGGCGAAGGCGGGGUCUCUGGACAGUUCCUGACGCUGAGGCACGAAGGCCAGGGGAGCAAACGGG
rnacentral:rRNA from 1 species